AGCGCCCCGCGCCCCCGCCACCGGGUCCGCAGGCCGGUCCGGUCCCUGGGAUGCGCCGGGCGGGCAGCUUUGGCUCUGGCCCGCCAGGAAAGGCCCUGUGACCUUGGCCCGGCUCCGGGUUCGAAUCCGCCUCCUCCACUGGCUGGCUCUGUGACCUUGGGCCGGGCCCUUCGCCCGUGUCCAGGCCACGAACCCCGUCAGACCCUCCCGGGCCUUCCAGUGGGGCCGCUCCGUCUGGACCCUCCUCCUUCCUGGGCCCCUUGCCCAUCAUCAGCAAGCCCCAGCAGAGCACAGGGUGAUACAGGCAAGAGUCCUUCUGGCGCCUGGGGACAGGAGCAGCCUCUCUGGGGAGGUGAGCUGAACCAGAGCCAAUCACCGUCAGAGCAAAGGACUUUCAGCAGUGCGAGACUCAAGCAGGGGGAAGCUCAGCAUGUCCCUGGAACCAACAAAAGCAAGCCUCUCUACACUUGGAUUCAUCGUGUUUCAAGUACUCAGCAGCCACAUGUGGCUCAUGGCAACCAUAUUAGACAGCAACCUGUAAUUUUUUACUCAGAAACAAAAAUAUCAUGCAAGAAUGAAGGUAAAAUAAUGGCAUUUUCAGAUUAACAAAAAUAGAAUUUAUUGCCAGCAGGAAUUCACUAAAAGAAACACUAAAGGAAAUUCUAUGGGCAGUAGGAAAAUUAUUCCAGAUUGAAAUGGAGGAAUAAAGACCAAAGACAUACA